AGUGAGCGCUGGCGGUAGGCCUAACACAUGCAAGUCGAACGGCAGCACAGUAAGAGCUUGCUCUUACGGGUGGCGAGUGGCGGACGGGUGAGGAAUACAUCGGAAUCUACUUUUUCGUGGGGGAUAACGUAGGGAAACUUACGCUAAUACCGCAUACGACCUACGGGUGAAAGCAGGGGAUCUUCGGACCUUGCGCGAUUGAAUGAGCCGAUGUCGGAUUAGCUAGUUGGCGGGGUAAAGGCCCACCAAGGCGACGAUCCGUAGCUGGUCUGAGAGGAUGGAUAGGCCAAAUUGAAAUGAGAAAACGGCCAGACUUCCUAGGGAGGGCAGAGGUGGGGAAUUUCGACAAAUGGCGGAAAGCUUAAUCCAGCAAACCGGGGUGGGUGAAGAAGGCCUUCGGGUUGUAAAGCCCUUUUGUGGGGAAAGAAAAGCAGCGGGUUAAAACCCCGCUGUUUUGAGGGUACCAAAAGAAAAAGAACCGGCAAACUUCGU
rnacentral:rRNA from 1 species